UUGAAAAUUAAAUAGUAUUUGCAACUCGGUGAAGUCACCUUGCUGGUGGCCGAGGCCUGACCACAAGAGUCUUCUAUAUGGGAUACUGUAUAGAAGGUGAGACCUAAUAAUAGGUAUUCACUUUUAAUUAAGUGCUGUGGCUGGUGUCGCAGAUGGUUCUUCGAUGUAAAUGAUGGAGUGUGUGGGGGCGACAAGAAGCUCUGCAGCAAUGCAACUCACGAUAUGAUUAAAGCCUGAGAAACUUUAAUCUACGUUCUCAAAGGAAGCCUAAGAUACUUGACUUGAUGUUCAGUAAUGAACUAUAACCACAUUCCCAGUAUAAGUAGCGAAAUGUCGUAGUAUUGGUACUCUCUAAAAAUUAACUAGUAACGAUCUGCUGAAGCUUCGUGAAAGUUGGAAGAUAAUUAAAUUCUUCCCGUUGUAUCGUUAUAAUAUAUAACCAUUCCAGAAGUAUAUUGGUCGCAACUCUAUACUCAGCCUGGCGUGAACGUGCAUGAACAACAAAUUAGAAUAACAUCUGUAGGAUGAAGGUCCGUAAAUACUAUUAAUUUAGA
rnacentral:ncRNA from 1 species